AAGAGACUUAGGUUAACNNUAAACCAGGGGCCUUCAAAGCCCCAAAUAAGAGCUCAACCCUCUUAGUCC
rnacentral:tRNA from 1 species